AAGUGCGCUGGAGAGGAGACUACUUUAGCUUCUUCCGGAUCAUCGCUAGGCGCCGGCGGCUCAUGAGUUGGAUCCCAAUUGCUGCCCAGUGCGCUGGAGCAAGCUCGAAAGUUCCAAGCCUCUAGGAUCAGCAGCAGCAGCAGCAGCAGCAGUAGCGUCGACAAAUCUUGGAGCAAGUAGCUCCAUUUCCAAAAACAGAUCAAAGAGGUACCUCUCUAUCCUUGGUUCUAGAUCAAAAUGCCAGGAAAAGGAGAGCUACUCUAGAAUGAAGAAUCAAGAAUGCCAGGGGCAAGGACACGACAAUUCCAAUAUCUCUCUCUC